UUCCCUACUGGCCACAGAGAUGGACCUUGCCUCUUUGCUUGCUGGUUGACUCCGAACCCCAGCUUGGACCCUUGGCUUCCCCCCUUGAACUCCGACCCCAAUCCUGACCCCUGGCCUUGGUACUUGGACCCUGAUUCUGGCUUUGCUCCUUGGCUUUGGUAUUGGGACUCUAGCUUUUGACCCCUGAUUUUGGUUCUAGGACUCUGACUUCAGCUUGAUCCCUGGCUUCCUUGCUUGAACUCUGACUCUGGCUAUGGGUCCUGACUCUGCCCCUUGAACUCUGUCACUGUACCUGCCCUUUGGCAUCGGUGCUAGGACCCUGAUCCCAGUCCCAAACUCAGGCUACCACUCGUAGAUUCUGAUCCCUGACCUAUGUCACUGGACUCUUUCACUAGCCCUGACUGCUAAGCCUCACCGCCGAAGCCCUGGCUAUGACACAGGAUGCUGGUUUAGGUGAACUAUUGACCUGAUCUUAUUCUUCUGUUCCUGGCUAAACCUGCCUUCCGACAAGUGUCCAGGAAGUUAUGAAGUUUGUUCUGUGCAUCACUUAAUCAAGGUUUGUUUGUGAAAGUCAGACAGUUUUUUGUUUUGUUUUGUUUUCUUGUUCAGUUCAUAGCCUAUUAUCAAGACCACAAUGAAGACCAAAGCAAGAAUGAGCUCAUACAAGCCCUGCAAUUGCUCAGACAGCUCCUUCCAGAUGGACGAAGGCAUAUGUUAUCUCAGUCUCCUUCAACCCAGCAGACAAGUGAUCCCAGCUGAUUCCCUCUCUCAAUCGACUUCUACACCGGAAGACUAGAAACCAAACCAGAACGGCACACAACUCAGUAGUUGCAAGUUCACAACAGUCUGUGUCAACCAUUGCUUUGGCUGUGAUUCAUUCAUCUGGCCUUGCCCCACCACACUGGCAAUGCAGCAGAUAACUGGAAGAGGUUCAAGAGAGAUUCAACCUGUACAUGCAAGCAAGUGUCUUUGUUGAAAAAGAAAAAAAGCAGCAGGUCACUCCUGAAGGACAGACUUACCACCGGGACAGGAAACAUCUACAGUAGGGUCCUGAGGAAAGGGAGCAUAAGGAGGAAACCUCAAUGCCUGCAAGAGAAAGGGAAGUGGAGCACGCAACGGACCUACAGGCACUCAAGCAACUGAUGCAGAGACAGUCCUGUUGUCGCGCAGAUCAACCAAACUGCAUGGACCUCAGAGACUGAAGGAGAAUUGUUAAAAUGGUCACAAGCCAAUUUUAAUUGUAUAGAUAGGAAUUGUGUAGCUAUUGACUAUAUGGAUAUACAGUUUUGAUUAAUGUUGAAUAAGAUCUUUAAUUGGAAAAGAGGAGAUGUGAGGCUUUGUCCCUUGAAAGGCUGUACCCCUCUUAGCUGAAUAGCUACAGGAGAGGAAGCUGCGAGCAGUUCUGACAUAGCCGCCUAACCAGCAGUUACCCCAUUCUCAGAGGGGCUUAGCUGAUCUUCUAAGGUCCAGCCUGAGUCUCCUACGCAGAACCUACGAAGAUUGAACCUUGAAUGGUGUUUUAACCACGUUCCCUUAUCACACUAUAGUCUUGCUAAAGGCCCAUUUGCUAUCGCAAAUCACAAUAGCACAUUAUAACACAGUUUUGU